AGAGUUUGAUCCUGGCUCAGGACGAACGCUGGCGGCGUGCCUAAUACAUGCAAGUCGAACGCUUUUUCUUUCACCGGAGCUUGCUCCACCGAAAGAAAAGGAGUGGCGAACGGGUGAGUAACACGUGGGUAACCUGCCCAUCAGAAGGGGAUAACACUUGGAAACAGGUGCUAAUACCGUAUAACAAUAGAAACCGCAUGGUUUCUAUUUGAAAGGCGCUUUUGCGUCACUGAUGGAUGGACCCGCGGUGCAUUAGCUAGUUGGUGAGGUAACGGCUCACCAAGGCAACGAUGCAUAGCCGACCUGAGAGGGUGAUCGGCCACAUUGGGACUGAGACACGGCCCAAACUCCUACGGGAGGCAGCAGUAGGGAAUCUUCGGCAAUGGACGAAAGUCUGACCGAGCAACGCCGCGUGAGUGAAGAAGGUUUUCGGAUCGUAAAACUCUGUUGUUAGAGAAGAACAAGGAUGAGAGUAGAAUGUUCAUCCCUUGACGGUAUCUAACCAGAAAGCCACGGCUAACUACGUGCCAGCAGCCGCGGUAAUACGUAGGUGGCAAGCGUUGUCCGGAUUUAUUGGGCGUAAAGCGAGCGCAGGCGGUUUCUUAAGUCUGAUGUGAAAGCCCCCGGCUCAACCGGGGAGGGUCAUUGGAAACUGGGAAACUUGAGUGCAGAAGAGGAGAGUGGAAUUCCAUGUGUAGCGGUGAAAUGCGUAGAUAUAUGGAGGAACACCAGUGGCGAAGGCGGCUCUCUGGUCUGUAACUGACGCUGAGGCUCGAAAGCGUGGGGAGCAAACAGGAUUAGAUACCCUGGUAGUCCACGCCGUAAACG
rnacentral:rRNA from 1 species